CAGAGGGGGCAAGCGUUGUUCGGAAUUACUGGGCGUAAAGGGCGCGUAGGCGGCCCGCUAAGUCGAACGUGAAAUCCCCGGGCUCAACCCGGGAACUGCGUCCGAUACUGGUGGGCUUGAAUCCGGGAGAGGGAUGCGGAAUUCCAGGUGUAGCGGUGAAAUGCGUAGAUAUCUGGAGGAACACCGGUGGCGAAGGCGGCAUCCUGGACCGGUAUUGACGCUGAGGCGCGAAAGCCAGGGGAGCAAACGGGAUUAGAUACCCCGGUAGUCCUGGCCCUAAACGAUGAAUGCUUGGUGUGGCGGGUAUCGAUCCCUGCCGUGCCGAAGCUAACGCAUUAAGCAUUCCGCCUGGGGAGUACGGUCGCAAGGCUG
rnacentral:rRNA from 1 species